rnacentral:rRNA from 1 species
CACGUAGGCGGCUUGUUAAGUCAGGGGUGAAAUCCUGGAGCUCAACUCCAGAACUGCCUUUGAUACUGGCGAGCUCGAGUCCGGGAGAGGUGAGUGGAACUGCGAGUGUAGAGGUGAAAUUCGUAGAUAUUCGCAAGAACACCAGUGGCGAAGGCGGCUCACUGGCCCGGAACUGACGCUGAGGUGCGAAAGCGUGGGGAGCAAACA